AAAUUUGAAUCGAGCUGAAAAGGCUACUUGGCCUUAACAAAAACUGGGUGAGUGUAUUUUUGAGUCCUAUUUUUAACACCACCAAAGAGAUGUCGGAGGGGGUUGACUCGAUGAGCGAGGGCGAGAUGCGCGCCAAUGGGAAGCGCAGCCAAGCUAAGGAGCGAGAGAACCCGAAAGCUAAGUUGAUUGCGCUCGACGCGGAAUCGUGGGCCAAUAUUGUUGACACGGACAAGGACUGGGACGUGCCAGAAGAGGAUCGCCCCUCAUCAUCUGCAUCGUCCGCGAAGGGGGCUAAGGCGAAAAAUGUUGCACCCGGAGAAAAGAAGCGCUCAAAAGGACGUUCUAGGGCGUCAUCGAAGGAGGCAUCGCGCGCUAAAGAGGUGCAGACUAUCAAGACCGCCGCUGCCGCAGCCGCUGCCCCCGCCGCUGUGCAAAUCGAUUGUCAGAAUUGAGUAUAGGGGCGAAAGACCAAUCGAACCAUCUAGUAGCUGGUUCCUUCCGAAGUUUCCCUCAGGAUAGCUGGUGCAUUUUAAUGUUAUAUAAAAUAAUCUUAUCUGGUAAAGCGAAUGAUUAGAGGCCUUAGGGUCGAAACGAUCUUAACCUAUUCUCAAACUUUAAAUGGGUAAGAACCUUAACUUUCUUGAUAUGAAGUUCAAGGUUAUGAUAUAAUGUGCCCAGUGGGCCACUUUUGGUAAGCAGAGCUGGCGCUGUGGGAUGAACCAAACGUAAUGUUACGGUGCCCAAAUUAACAACUCAUGCAGAUACCAUGAAAGGCGUUGGUUGCUUAAAACAGCAGGACGGUGAUCAUGGAAGUCGAAAUCCGCUAAGGAGUGUGUAACAACUCACCUGCCGAAGCAACUAGCCCUUAAAAUGGAUGGCGCUUAAGUUGUAUACCUAUACAUUACCGCUAAAGUAGAUGAUUUAUAUUACUUGUGAUAUAAAUUUUGAAACUUUAGUGAGUAGGAAGGUACAAUGGUAUGCGUAGAAGUGUUUGGCGCAAGCCUGCAUGGAGCUGCCAUUGGUACAGAUCUUGGUGGUAGUAGCAAAUAAUCGAAUGAGACCUUGGAGGACUGAAGUGGAGAAGGGUUUCGUGUGAACAGUGGUUGAUCACGAGUUAGUCGGUCCUAAGUUCAAGGCGAAAGCCGAAAAUUUUCAAGUAAAACACAAAUGCCAUACAAAUAUAUUAUAUUAUAUAAAUCAAGCUAAUUAAUAUACUUGAAUAAUUUUGAACGAAAGGGAAUACGGUUCCAAUUCCGUAACCUGUUGAGUAUCCGUUUGUUAUUAAAUAUGGGCCUCGUGCUCAUCCUGGCAACAGGAACGACCAUAAAGAAGCCGUCGAGAGAUAUCGGAAGAGUUUUCUUUUCUGUUUUAUAGCCGUACUACCAUGGAAGUCUUUCGCAGAGAGAUAUGGUAGAUGGGCUAGAAGAGCAUGACAUAUACUGUUGUGUCGAUAUUUUCUCCUCGGACCUUGAAAAUUUAUGGUGGGGACACGCAAACUUCUCAACAGGCCGUACCAAUAUCCGCAGCUGGUCUCCAAGGUGAAGAGUCUCUAGUCGAUAGAAUAAUGUAGGUAAGGGAAGUCGGCAAAUUAGAUCCGUAACUUCGGGAUAAGGAUUGGCUCUGAAGAUUGAGAUAGUCGGGCUUGAUUGGGAAACAAUAACAUGGUUUAUGUGCUCGUUCUGGGUAAAUAGAGUGUCUGGCAUUUAUGUUGGUCACUUGUUCCCCGGAUAGUUUAGUUACGUAGCCAAUUGUGGAACUUUCUUGCUAAAAUUUUUAAGAAUACUAAUUGGGUUAAACCAAUUAGUUCUUAUUAAUUAUAACGAUUAUCAAUUAACAAUCAAUUCAGAACUGGCACGGACUUGGGGAAUCCGACUGUCUAAUUAAAACAAAGCAUUGUGAUGGCCCUAGCGGGUGUUGACACAAUGUGAUUUCUGCCCAGUGCUCUGAAUGUCAAAGUGAAGAAAUUCAAGUAAGCGCGGGUCAACGGCGGGAGUAACUAUGACUCUCUUAAGGUAGCCAAAUGCCUCGUCAUCUAAUUAGUGACGCGCAUGAAUGGAUUAACGAGAUUCCUACUGUCCCUAUCUACUAGUGAUAUCGACGUGACCUUCGCCAACGAAGCAGCGCGAGUAUGGGCAACAUACGAUUGGAGAGUUGACUUCUGGGAGCUGAGUGACCACAACAUCAUUACUGUUGAGGUUACUCCAGAUCCGAGCAGUACCGUUGAGAGCCUAGCUCCGGUACCGCAAUGGAAGCUCUCCAAUGCAAGUUGGCGAAGAUUCAGUGUAGAGUUAAGGAGUGCAGCACAAAGCCUUGAGGAACUGGAGGAAUCGCCGUUGGACGACCAUGUGUCUGCCCUUCGCUCCAUCGUACAUGAAGUGUGCGACAGGGUGAUAGGGCGCAGGAUACCUGCAGCAAGGGGAAACGUAAUAUGGUGGAAUCCUGAGCUGAGUACCAAGCGCCAAGAGGUCCGGAGACUGAGGCGU
rnacentral:rRNA from 1 species